rnacentral:lncRNA from 1 species
UGUUUAGAAUAAAUAGCUCAUGGGAGUCCCAGAGCUCUUUUAUGAAUGGACCUGCUAAUGCAAAGUCUCUGGGAUGUGGUGGGCAACAUGAGACUCAAGAGCACCCAAAGCAUCUACAGGGAUUCAGCUCCACACAAGGCACUGCACUUGGUGCUUGUUUUGGGCAGCGAUACCAGCAGCUGCCACUCCACCAUCAUCUCUGGCUACGUGGAGGAAACCAAGCUAUAGGAGAAAAGAGCACGACCAACUCAGAAAGAAGCUGAGCCAAUUUGAGAAGGAGGAAAUGAAUGGCAGGGAAAGGUAAGAAAAAUGCUGGUGGUAUAGUGGGAGCCCUUGGAGUCUCUCAGUCUAACCCCAUUCAAAUUCUCUUUUCUGCUCAAGCAGGGAGGGCUUAGGUUUCUAUUACUUGCAACUGAA